rnacentral:rRNA from 1 species
AGUGAACGCUGGCGGCGUGCCUAAUACAUGCAAGUCGAACGGAGAUUAAGUAGCUUGCUAUUUAAUCUUAGUGGCGCACGGGUGAGUAAUAUAUAGCUAACUUGCCCAUUACUAAGGGACAACAGUUGGAAACGACUGCUAAUACCUUAUACUCCGUAUCUAUAUAAGUAGAUACGGGAAAGUUUUUCGGUAAUGGAUAGGGCUAUAUCGUAUCAGCUAGUUGGUAAGGUAAUGGCUUACCAAGGCUAUGACGCGUAACUGGUCUGAGAGGAUGAUCAGUCACGCUGGAACUGAGACACGGUCCAGACUCCUACGGGAGGCAGCAGUAGGGAAUAUUGCUCAAUGGGGGAAACCCUGAAGCAGCAACGCCGCGUGGAGGAUGACACUUUUCGGAGCGUAAACUCCUUUUCUUGGGAAAGAAUUAUGACGGUACCCAAGGAAUAAGCACCGGCUAACUCCGUG